UCCGAAGUAGCUCAGUGGUAGAGCAACCGGCUGUUAACCGGUUGGUCGUAGGUUCGAGUCCUACCUUCGGAG
rfam:Lysinibacillus odysseyi 34hs-1 = NBRC 100172 contig57, whole genome shotgun sequence.